CACCCUCCCUCGCUUUGUCUGUUGGAGGCGGGUGUGCGUUCCUUUCGUUGCUUCCGGUUGGUCGCAGCGUGCCGCCUGGGUCUCGUAGAACGCAUCUCGUUUCUCUCACACAAGACAACAUGACGACAGCCAUCACGUCCAUCCCACCGUCAUCUCCUUUCUAAACGAAACAUCUUCAGUUCCUUAAUUACUUCUAGUGACGUUUGCCACGAUGAAACUGCCAUUGACCCCUCUGUUUUCUCUUUGAAAGCCUUUGCCGAGGGAUUUGCCAGGGUGCCUGAACUCCAGAGAAUGUAAAGGAAAAACAGAGCAAAACCAAUCAAACAGGAGCCUCACUCAGAGAGGAGAUACAUCCUGAGGAAAUGGCUCUUCCUUCUAUUUCCUCCUUUCAUUGAGGAAGCCAGUCAUGAUGGUCGAAGAAGCCAAGGAUAAUUUCGUUUAUAAAUUGUAUACUUUGGCCACAUGGUUUCUAGCACAAAUUAGGGAUGGGAUUUAGCUUCAUUUCUCUUUCUUUUGAAUUUUAUUAUUUUAAAAGAAGAAUGUUUUCCCUGAAGCAUUUUGUAUUUGUGGCCCAGACAUUUUCUGCUCACUGCUAUGGACGGGGUUGCCGUUUGGAUAUAAAUGUCCCUGAUAGAUCACAAUUCGGGACUUAAAAUGUCCAUGUUUAUCCCAAAAUGUUUAUUUCCUUUAUCCUUCUACAGACACUGUAGUCAAUUUCUUUUCCUACCCUUUUUAUCUCAAAGAAAACAAGUUUUAUCAUUUGAAAGUAUCUUGUGCCAUAAAACCAGAUCAAUAUUAAAAAAAGGGUAUGAUCAUAUAA